CUUUUUUGUUCUCUCCCGUCCCUUUUAAAAUUCUAUGUUAUUUUAUUUUAGCUGUGUAAGUAUAUAGAGUAUACUCAACCUACACUUUUUAAUUGCUCUGGGCCAUUAGUAUUCUUUUUUUUUUUACUACGGUUUUGAUAUUUUAGUGGAAAAUGAAUCAGCUGGAUACAUAUGGGAUCUGCGAACUGUCCCAGUUAUGCCACCUUAUGGGCAGAUCUUUUAACCUCGUUUUUUCACAGCUUGUAACUAUGAAUAAGAAACUAGAUCAUCUCAUCAAGGGAAUUUUGCAACUGGCAAAUGCCACUAGACAUCAAGAUGUUCCUGAGGAUGAGAAUAAUAUUGGAUAUAACUCGAGGGAAUCCAGUUGGCAUUUAGAUUUUGGGGGGGAGGGAAUAUCUGGGUUUCAAAAUGGCAGCAAGGAGUUAAUAUUGGAUAAUGGAAAUAUCGAGGGAAUGGAUGAUAUGUGUGCUGAACAAACUGGCCCGAGAAGGGAAGAUAUGGAUAUGGAUAUAGGUUUGGGAGUGGCGAAGUCAUCAACGAAGGCUCCAUUGGAGGGGGAUUUCUCUCCUCCUCAUGUUGAGUGCCACCAUGGCCAUACCUUGCAAACGAAACAACUGGCCUUUCUAAUUAGAGACUCCACAUGGAAUAGGGGUAGAUGGACCUCGAAAAGAGCGAUCCAGAGGUCCUUGGUUCAAAUUUUAUCAAGGAGCCUGACUACAGUCAAGAUUAAGACCAUUACGUGGCUCCAGAAGGACUAUCAAUCGCACGAUCGCUCUAUACGCCUCAUUUCCACCUUUGAGGAUAAGUCUAUUAUAGAGGAGUUAUGGGCCCUUAGGUCCUGGCUGCUAUUAUGGGGCAUCACCAUCAGAAAAGUAAUAGUAGACCCUGUGAUUCGUCCUCUUGUGGCCAACUUGUCUUUAUAUACUCAAGCACUAACUAGGUCCAAUGAUAAUAGGAUGUUCAAUCCUCACUGUAGGUCCCCUCCCUCAGAAAAGUCGCAUCUAGAUGUUCUGGC
rnacentral:lncRNA from 1 species